UGGGGAAUAUUGGACAAUGGGCGAAAGCCUGAUCCAGCCAUGCCGCGUGUGUGAAGAAGGUCUUCGGAUUGUAAAGCACUUUAAGUUGGGAGGAAGGGCAGUAAGCGAAUACCUUGCUGUUUUGACGUUACCGACAGAAUAAGCACCGGCUAACUCUGUGCCAGCAGCCGCGGUAAUACAGAGGGUGCAAGCGUUAAUCGGAAUUACUGGGCGUAAAGCGCGCGUAGGUGGUUCGUUAAGUUGAAUGUGAAAGCCCCGGGCUCAACCUGGGAACUGCAUCCAAAACUGGCGAGCUAGGGUAGGGCAGAGGGUGGUGGAAUUGCCUGUGUAGCGGUGAAAUGCGUAGAUAUAGGAAGGAACACCAGUGGCGAAGGCGACCACCUGGGCUCAUACUGACACUGAGGUGCGAAAGCGUGGGGAGCAAACAGG
rnacentral:rRNA from 1 species